UCCCCAUACAAAUGCCUCUUUCAUCACAUCCCUCCCAUUUCCAUCCCUCUUCUCCGCGUUCUCGUUCAACACCGCAUAAAUAACUAAGGCACACGCCUUAGUGUCCCAGUUGCCUGACGACACGCAUACCGCACCAAACGCUGCCAAGUCACGGGCGUCACUAAUUAUGGGAAAACCGUGUAGAGAAAAAAAAACAGCACGGGAAAAAGUUGUGAAACUCUUUCAACCACAUUUGUUUGCAAUUGUUUUCCUUUCAUUACUUCAUUUUACUGUGCCCUAGGACGUAGACAUGUCAGCGUCGACGGUGAGAAAUCCCUCUUCUUCGGCGCCUUCCAUGGGCAGCAGCAGCAUGCCUUAGGGCUGGGUGGUGUGGAACAAUCCUCAAUGGAAAAUUGCAAUUCCUCUGUGUUCCGCAAACGUUGCCACAGUCAAACAGAACACCUUCAACAACGUGGUCGUCCCCACCACUCUUGUUGAGAACUCGCUAUUUCAACGAAUUAGCCGGGACCAUUGCACACUGGAGAAGUCAUUGGAAAACGGUGAAAUAUCGUUGAUUAGUCACUUUCAGAAUGGCACUUUUGUCGAUGGCCAGCGAGUUCUGUACCAGAAACCAAUCCCAAUACAAAAAGAUGCCCUAAUUGCUUUGUGUUCCUCCGACAGCAAAAAACCAACCGUGGGUGAUGCUGAAUCGUUAUAAAGAAAAAAAAAUUAUGAAUGUGGUAGUCUUUAACUCUUUUGCUACAUAACCAUUUCACUCUUUUACUGUGAUGAUUCAGAACUUUUGGUCAAGUAAGUCGUGCUAUCCAAAAGAUGAUUGCACAGUUUUGGCCUGGAAAACAGUUCACUCAACCACACAAGGAGGCAUGCAGAGUUUAGCGUGCGCGGACCCUUGCGGCAUUCGUAUUCUCAGGCAUGAAAUUGUCAUCGUAUCCACAACACAGCAUCCCUGCAAAAAAAGGUGCAAUGGCAAAAAAAAAUUUCUUUCCCCACCACCGAAAUCGAACUAAAUAACAGCCGUUGCCAUGAACAACUACUAAAAAAUAAUCUUUACGUACAUGGCUUCAGUGAGUUGUAUUCAUAAAUCAAUUAAAAUCAUCUAGGACAAAUUACCUUUGUGACACUGAUAACACCGUUUGCAAAAUUGUAUGGUAAGCAACGAAGGUACUGAAUGUAGUUAACGUAAUUAGAAUGGGGUCGCCGUGGAUUCACGGCAGCCUCGAUUUCGCCAAAAUUUUCUUGUCCGCGGUAACAUUAGAGAUCAUUCGUUGCCCACAUUUAAGUUUUCCCCAUCCGGAUGCCAGUUGUUGGACUCUUCCGUAAACAGGACAAAAAUUCCACGUUUCUUGUAAUGGAGCUUGCCUGCGGCGGUACGUGAAAAAUAAAUUGUUCGACGUCGGCCAUCUCUCUGAAAAAACUGCCAAGUACUUCAUCGUCCAAAUAUUUUCGGCAAUUAAGUAUUGUCACGCCCGCUCAGCCAAUUGCUUACCGCGACCUGAACCCUGCGAACGUUUUGCUUACGGACUCCAGCGAGUUUGCGGGAGUAAAGAUUAGUUUGCUACAUUUGUGACUUAUCAGUUUUUUUUUUGGGGGGGGGGGAAGAGGAAUUGGGAGGGUUUAUUAACAAAUUGCAAUUUUUUUGCUGAUCCUCGACGGUUGUCUUGGU
rnacentral:lncRNA from 1 species